AGCGUCACACAAGUGUGCCGACGGUCGACUCCGGUGACGCAAGGGGCCAGGUGCCGGGUCCCGGAGAGUGGCAC
rfam:Gordonia rhizosphera NBRC 16068 DNA, contig: GORHZ130.